rnacentral:rRNA from 1 species
UGCAGUUCGAGGGGCAGCAUGAACUUAGCUNGCUAAGUUUGAUGGCGACCGGCGCACGGGUGAGUAACACGUAUCCAACCUGCCGAUGACUCGGGGAUAGCCUUUCGAAAGAAAGAUUAAUACCCGAUGGCAUAGUUCUUCCGCAUGGUNGAACUAUUAAAGAAUUUCGGUCAUCGAUGGGGAUGCGUUCCAUUAGGUUGUUGGCGGGGUAACGGCCCACCAAGCCUUCNAUGGAUANGGGUUCUGAGANGAAGGUCCCCCACAUUGGAACUGANACACGGUCCAAACUCCUACGGGAGGCNCCANUGAGGAAUAUUGGUCACUGGACGAUAGUCUGAACCANCCAAGUAGCGUGAANGAUGACUGCCCUAUGGGUUGNAA